rnacentral:rRNA from 1 species
AACGUAGCCUCGAUGGAGGGGGAGGGUAACUACUGGAAACGGGGGCUAAUAACGCAUAAUGUCGCAAGACCAAAGAGGGGGACCUUCGGGCCUCUUGCCAUCGGAUGUGCCCAGAUGGGAUUAGCUAGUAGGUGGGGUAACGGCUCACCUAGGCGACGAUCCCUAGCUGGUCUGAGAGGAUGACCAGCCACACUGGAACUGAGACACGGUCCAG